CAGUCGCCGCGGUAAUACGGAGGGUGCGAGCGUUAAUCGGAAUUACUGGACGUAAUGCGUACGCAGGCGGUUUGUUAAGUCAGAUGUGAAAUCCCCGAGCUUAACUCGGGAACUGCAUUUGAAACUGGCAGGCUAGAGUCUCGUAGAGGGGGGUAGAAUUCCAGGUGUAGCGGUGAAAUGCGUAGAGAUCUGGAGGAAUACCGGUGGCGAAGGCGGCCCCCUGGACGAAGACUGACGCUCAGGUACGAAAGCGUGGGGAGCAAGCAGGAUUAGAUACCCGCGUAGUCCCUGUCUCUUAUAC
rnacentral:rRNA from 1 species